GACGAACGCUGGCGGCGUGCCUAAUACAUGCAAGUAGAACGCUGAAGAGAGGAGCUUGCUCUUCUUGGAUGAGUUGCGAACGGGUGAGUAACGCGUAGGUAACCUGCCUGGUAGCGGGGGAUAACUAUUGGAAACGAUAGCUAAUACCGCAUAAAAUUGAUUAUUGCAUGAUAAUUAAUUGAAAGAUGCAAUUGCAUCACUACCAGAUGGACCUGCGUUGUAUUAGCUAGUUGGUGAGGUAACGGCUCACCAAGGCGACGAUACAUAGCCGACCUGAGAGGGUGAUCGGCCACACUGGGACUGAGACACGGCCCAGACUCCUACGGGAGGCAGCAGUAGGGAAUCUUCGGCAAUGGGGGGAACCCUGACCGAGCAACGCCGCGUGAGUGAAGAAGGUUUUCGGAUCGUAAAGCUCUGUUGUAAGAGAAGAACGGGUGUGAGAGUGGAAAGUUCACACUGUGACGGUAUCUUACCAGAAAGGGGCGGCUAACUACGUGCCAGCAGCCGCGGUAAUACGUAGGUCCCGAGCGUUGUCCGGAUUUAUUGGGCGUAAAGCGAGCGCAGGCGGUUAGAUAAGUCUGAAGUUAAAGGCUGUGGCUUAACCAUAGUAUGCUUUGGAAACUGUUUAACUUGAGUGCAGAAGGGGAGAGUGGAAUUCCAUGUGUAGCGGUGAAAUGCGUAGAUAUAUGGAGGAACACCGGUGGCGAGAGCGGCUCUCUGGUCUGUAACUGACGCUGAGGCUCGAAAGCGUGGGGAGCAAACAGG
rnacentral:rRNA from 1 species